rnacentral:antisense_RNA from 1 species
GGCGUUUGCAGGAGUAAUUUGCUUCUAUCCUUAAUAUCUCCGCUGAUAUGGUAAGGCAAUCCACAAUUAGCAAAUGAAACAAAGUGGCCUCUUUCGAACAUGAUGAUUUCGGCAUCUUCGCUUAGUCGUCGUGCUCGAGCUGCUGCCGACGCCCCACCUGCAACACCGC